rfam:Valsa mali strain 03-8 chromosome 7, whole genome shotgun sequence.
GCCCGGCUAGCUCAAUCGGUAGAGCGUGAGACUCUUACGGGUCUUCGAUUCUGAAUAAUCUCAAGGUUGUGGGUUCGACCCCCACGUCGGGCU